UCCACAGUAGCUCAGUGGUAGAGCUAUCGGCUGUUAAUCGAUCGGUCGUAGGUUCGAGUCCUACCUGUGGAGCCA
rnacentral:tRNA from 1 species